rnacentral:rRNA from 1 species
UACGUAGGGUGCAAGCGUUAAUCGGAAUUACUGGGCGUAAAGCGUGCGCAGGCGGUUUUGUAAGUCUGUCGUGAAAUCCCCGGGCUCAACCUGGGAAUUGCGAUGGAGACUGCAAGGCUAGAAUCUGGCAGAGGGGGGGGUAGAAUUCCACGUGUAGCAGUGAAAUGCGUAGAGAUGUGGAGGAACACCGAUGGCGAAGGCAGCCCCCUGGGUCAAGAUUGACGCUCAUGCACGAAAGCGUGGGGAGCAAACGAAGG